AGUUUAAAAUGUAUGAAUUUAAUGGUCUUCUGCAUGUUUAAAAGAAGUCAAAGUAACUCUUAAUUGUGUGAGAGUUCAUGACCUUUAAGAGAUUUUACACUUCCAGGUUGACCGGAGCGUGAGGAAGAAGAGGAAGAAAAAGAAGCCGAGAGUCAAUGGCAUCGAGCAGCUAACAGUCAACUGUGUGUGUUGUCAGUGUGGUGUUUUAUUAGGGACUGUGAACUGUUGUGGGAUGACGUGCUGUGAGUGUAUGAGUUGGUCUCUCCAUCGCAGCCGAGGUGUUUGUGUUAUAUUGGACACAAAGCAAGCUCGGCUAAGCUAGCUAUCAGGUGCUAAGCUAGCUAUCAGGUGCUAAGCUAGCUAUCAGGUGCUAAGCUAGCUAUCAGGUGCUAGGCUAGCGGCACGGCCACUGUUGAGAGGAGGCCUAUGCUGACGGGAGGAGCAUUGCCGGGUCACCUCGGAGAGUGUCACCGACGGAGGGCGCUUCGUUGCCGCAGAGGGACACAGAGGUUUAUCCCUGCGAGCAUUUUGUUUUCACAGGCUAACCUCUCCUCAUAACAUGGCUGUGACCUUCUAUUUGCUCGGAGCUAUGUGUGCAAGUCCAGAUUUACAUGAUGCCGAUACGCCAUUGUGUCUGCCUGUAAGACAUAUUACAAGACGGUAUACGCAGGAGCUUCAGGUACAAACAACCAGAUCUUGCAUCGCAGGCGGAAGCUGUGAAGAGUUCAGCUCGGAGUCGGCUGAGAACAAAGAGGCUGCUGGAAGAGAGACAGAGUGUGCUAGCUGAGGAUGAGGUGGACCUUUGGAAGUGCGCCACCGGAGACCUGAUGUCUGAUGAGGAAGACAGUGGGGCAUCUGGAUGGAUUGUGCGACCUCCGCCCUUUCACAGCCGGGAGCUCACUGAGCUCUAUGUCACGCUGCAGUCGAGAUUAGAGGCGAUUCAGAAGUGCAGGGCAACGCACCACAGACAUCUGCAAAAUGGACCAAAUUCAGACGGAAGGCCGCCAGUUACCUACAGCUCCGAGGCGGCAAACAGACACUUGACAGUUCUGCUUUGUAAAUACUUGUGUGUUUGUGCUAAUAAAUUUCUUUUUUUGAAUAAACAACAUGUGGGGGCCCAAUUGUGACAGAUCUGCCAAAAAUCACAAGUGAUUUUUCUUGUUUAAAAGUUGUGGUGUCAUCCAAUGCUGAGUGAGGAAAUUCAAGCCAGCCCACGCAUGUCAUGGUUCAUUUCCGUCAAUAUGUGGCACAGAUGAAUGCAACGUUCACAGGCUGUAAAUUGUCAUUAACUACCAAAAAUCUGGAAUAUUUCCAGGUGUGUAUGGGGACGAAAAUCCCACUUUUCAUGCAGUAGAAGUGUCCAGGUCCAAUGCGGAAGUGAUGGAGGUGCCCGGGAGGUGGCCACAGGAGUCUCUGCCCUUCCCUUCCCCCUUAGACUUGAAUACCUCCACUCCCCAUUUUUCUUGCUGAACUGAAUACUGGCCUUGAGUAUUGGACAACAGAACCUUCAUUUUAUGAACAGUUUUAAGUUUGUUUUUUUUAAUUGGUG